AAAAAAAAAACCAAACCUUUGCAGAUCAACUGAUGAAGCUAGAAAGUAAAACAGAAAUGUUUUCAAAAUCCUGCAGUUUUGGAUAAAGAAAAUGGAUGAGAGAAGUAGGAGGAGGAAAAGGAGGUCCUGGAAGUUGGCACUAUAAAAAUAUGCCUCAGAACAUUGAAGAAUAUACAUAUUCCUCUCUCUGUGAAUCUUCCUUUGACAAAAUAGGCUGAAUACUGGAUGAGGCUACUUCAGAUGAAUAUCAUUUAUGGAAAGAGCUAUAAACAAAAGGCAAAUGUCUUGAAUGCUUUUCAGCGUUGAGGAGAAGUGUUAUUACGAAAGACUGACACUGCCCACCCUGGCAAGGCCAGCCCAGCUCUGGUUAUCAUUAUAUUUCAGACCAGAAUAUUAGAAAAUAACUACAAGAUUGUCAUCUUUAUACAAAUCUGUUGUGCAUCCAAAAAAUCAAUACUGAAAAAAAGUCAAAAUCUCUGUAAUACCACUCUUUCAACAGUCUAAAUCCAUCCAGAUCAGUUACCCAAAACAGCAUGUAAAACUUGGAAUUGAGAGAAAAUGUACAUUUGAAAGGGUUAGGGAAGAUAACCACUUGUGAUCUGUAUGUCCUUGAUGUAUUAGAAUGUGUACUACAA
ensembl:lncRNA